rnacentral:rRNA from 1 species
UACGUAGGGGGCAAGCGUUGUCCGGAAUCAUUGGGCGUAAAGCGCGUGUAGGCGGUUCGGUAAGUCUGCUGUGAAAGUCCAGGGCUCAACCCUGGGAUGCCGGUGGAUACUGUCGGACUAGAGUACGGAAGAGGCGAGUGGAAUUCCCGGUGUAGCGGUGAAAUGCGCAGAUAUCAGGAAGAACACCCGUGGCUAAGGCGGCUCUCUAGUACGGUACUGACGCUGAGACGCGAAAGCGUGGGGAGCGAACAGG